rnacentral:lncRNA from 1 species
UUGCUCCUGGUUGGAGUGUGUGCGAAUUCCCAAGUGAGAAUUUCGCCCGAUCAUGAUUGGGUCUGCAUUUGCGAGCGAGAGACGCUGCGUAUUGAGACAGGUUUAGGUGGUAGGCCUACGUAGGAUUGGUGGCCUUUGGUCCACCUGUGGAGACCGAAGAGAGCGAUUUGGUAGGUGGCCUUAUCGAGGUGUUUGACUCGAAUUUACGAACGAAGCGCUCACGUGAGCUCGUUGCGAAAGUAGUUCGAUGUUGACCGUGGCAUAUGGUAUCAGAAGAUGAAGUGCUCUUGGUGAGACCUUGAGCGAGUAGUAAGCCACGUGGACUUGGAGGAUUGGAAUUGGGGAUGUGCUAAGAUAGGUCAUCUCACGUUAACGUUUAGGGUCAGUGCCAAAUUAGAGCACUCACGACGGAGCGAUGCACCGGUGAUAUUGCUUCUAAGCAAUGUCGGUGAUCGAAUCAGAAUGUAUUCCCUGAAGGGAAGUUAAGUGCAAAGAAGAGUUCUUUGUGUAUCGAAGGUGAGUGGU